GGGCACGUGGCGUAGUGGUAUCGCGUUUGCUUCGCACUAAUAUCGGUCUUCUGAUAGCGGCGAUUGUAAAAGGUCUCCGGUUCAAUCCCGGACGUGUCCA
rnacentral:tRNA from 1 species